rnacentral:rRNA from 1 species
AGAUACUGAUCCUGGCUCAGAAUGAACGCUGGCGGCAUGGAUUAGGCAUGCAAGUCGAACGCUCACUUCGGUGAGAGUGGCGAAAGGGUGAGUAACGCGUGAGUAAUCUGCCCUCAAGUUUGGAACAACUGUUGGAAACGACAGCUAAUACCGGAUGUGAAUACGAAGAUGCAUGUUUUUGUAUUUAAAGGUUUACUGCUUGAGGAUGAGCUCGCGUCCCAUUAUGCUAGUUGGUAAGGUAACGGCUUACCAAGGCUAUGACGGGUAGGUGGUCUGAGAGGAUGGUCACCCACACUGGGACUGAGACACUGCCCAGACUCCUGCGGGAGGCUGCAGUCGAGAAUCUUCCGCAAUGCGCGAAAGCGUGACGGAGCAAUGCCGCGUGAAGGAUGAAGGCUUUCGGGUCGUAAACUUCUGUCAGGGGGGAAAAACAUUGAUUGUACCCCCAGAGGAAGCCACGGCUAACUACGUGCCAGCAGCCGCGGUAAUACGUAGGUGGCGAGCGUUAUUCGGAUUUACUGGGCGUAAAGGGUCCGUAGGGGGAUUAUUAAGUCAGAUGUGAAAUUUCAGGGCUCAACCCUGAACCUGCAUUUGAAACUGGUAGUCUAGAAUCCGGUAGAGGUAAGUGGAAUUUGUGGUGUAGCGGUGGAAUGCGUAGAUAUCACAAGGAACAUCAAAGGCGAAAGCAGCUUACUGGGCCGGUAUUGACCCUGAGGGACGAAAGCUAAGGUAGCGAAAAGGAUUAGAUACCCUUGUAGUCUUAGCCGUAAACGUUGUACACUCGAUGUCGGGGGAAUUAGCCCCUUCGGUGUCUAAGCUAACGCGAUAAGUGUACCGCCUGGGAAGUACGGUCGCAAGACUAAAACUCAAAGGAAUUGACGGGGGCCCGCACAAGCGGUGGAGCAUGUGGUUUAAUU